GUUCAUGUGUGAGUGAGUGAUUGACAUGCAAAACGCAAUUCGCUCUUCCUCUUGAUCGUGCCAGUGUUGCUCUACUACUUUGAAGUAAAAAUGCAAAAUAAUUAAGUUGCCAAUUCGCGUGCUUUAUUUUUCCACUAAAUAUUCAAUAGAAAUUGUGAAAAGUUCUGGUGCAACAAUAAAAACAACAACAACAAUAAGAACAACAGUGUCCAUGGCCGCGUUUGCAACCCCUUUAUGCUAGAAUUACGCUGACCAUGCGAAAAGAGGGAAACGUCGCAGUUUGCAUUUCUCGUUUACAAUUUGCAUGGUGAAAGGAUUACGAACCGGUUUCGCAGUCCAAUGCGCCCAUUCCGCUCGUGGCACACAAAACAGCUUAACCGCCUGCCUGUGCCUGGUCAGUCGUCGGGGUUAGCACUGAUUUACAUUUGAGGGUGGCAGCCAAACACACUCAUCAGUCGCGUCUACAAUUACACACACACACAUACAGACACAGAGUAAGAGACAAAAUGCAGUUGCGUCCACACUUUAGCGUAAUGGCCAAGCAUUAGGGCGACACUUGAGUUUGUGUUGCAUGUCAAAGUCAGAGCAUCGUCUACUAGCUUGCCACUCCCCCUCCACCCGCUCUUAUGCAAAUGCAAACAAAGCGACCGCCGAGACGCAAGAAGUCACGUGCUCACAAACACCACCAAACACACAACUCCGACGUCACUAAUAAGCGGCAAAUAAUUGGCAGACGAACUUGAGACUACCCCAAUGGCUCAAAGGCGGCCAGGGGAAGUCGAUGUUGCCGAUGCCGCCGUCCUGGCAACCUGGCAUGGACACUAAAAAUCGAUAUGCCACCCCAAAAUGUGAAGCAUUCCCUGCUCUGCAGGUUGUCGAUCCUUUGCCUCGUCACUGGAAUGAAAAUGUUUGUUUUGCCUGCAACAUGAAUGGAAUGGCUAGCCAGCAACUAGCAAAAAGAGAGUGCGCGCCUGCUCCUCUGCACCUUCUCCUUCUACUGCUCCCAAUUGCACGGCUGCAUUUGAUGUCUGCAUUUUGUGGCAGAACUUUACUUUAACCCAAAGAGUGGCAAUUAGAAUUUCCGGCUAUAAAAUUGUGGAAACUAUACAGAAAAUGGAGAACAACGAAAAAAGCGUUAGCCCAUAACCAUGUCAGCUCUCUAUUGUCCAGCUGUCCAACUGUCUGCGAUUAGAGCACAUUACUCUCACAACGAACAUUUGAAUGUCAAGGGAAAGCAUAAAGCACGCCCGAAAAAAUGCAAUCAUGAGCCGCUCCAGUUAAUGGCCAGCAAAUGAUCAUUAUGCGGACAGCACAACAGAAAGA